CGCGUAGGCGGCCUUCUAAGUCAGACGUGAAAUCCCCCGGCUCAACCUGGGAACUGCGUCUGAUACUGGAGGGCUUGAAUGCGGGAGAGGGAUGUGGAAUUCCAGGUGUAGCGGUGAAAUGCGUAGAUAUCUGGAGGAACACCGGUGGCGAAGGCGGCAUCCUGGACCGACAUUGACGCUGAGGCGCGAAAGCUAGGGUAGCAAACG
rnacentral:rRNA from 1 species